CAGUCGCCGCGGGAAUACGAAGGGUGCAAGCGUUAAUCGGAAUUACUGGGCGUAAAGCGUGCGUAGGCGGUGAGUUAAGUCUGCUGUGAAAUCCCCGGGCUCAACCUGGGAAUGGCAGUGGAUACUGGCUCGCUAGAGUGUGUCAGAGGAUGGUGGAAUUCCCGGUGCAGCGGUGAAAUGCGUAGAGAUCGGGAGGAACAUCAGUGGCGAAGGCGGCCAUCUGGGACAACACUGACGCUGAGGCGCGAAAGCGUGGGGAGCAAACAGGAUUAGAUACCCCAGUAGUCCCUGUCUCUUAUAC
rnacentral:rRNA from 1 species